rnacentral:rRNA from 1 species
UGGGGAAUAUUGCACAAUGGGCGCAAGCCUGAUGCAGCCAUGCCGCGUGUAUGAAGAAGGCCUUCGGGUUGUAAAGUACUUUCAGCGAGGAGGAAGGCGUUGUGGUUAAUAACCGCAACGAUUGACGUUACUCGCAGAAGAAGCACCGGCUAACUCCGUGCCAGCAGCCGCGAUAAUACGGAGGGUGCAAGCGUUAAUCGGAAUUACUGGGCGUAAAGCGCACGCAGGCGGUCUGUCAAGUCGGAUGUGAAAUCCCCGGGCUCAACCUGGGAACUGCAUCCGAAACUGGCAGGCUAGAGUCUUGUAGAGGGGGGUAGAAUUCCAGGUGUAGCGGUGAAAUGCGUAGAGAUCUGGAGGAAUACCGGUGGCGAAGGCGGCCCCCUGGACAAAGACUGACGCUCAGGUGCGAAAGCGUGGGGAGCAAACA